rfam:Tarsius syrichta, whole genome shotgun sequence
GCCAGGUGCAGUAGCAUGUGCCUAUAGUACCAGCUACUUGUGAGGCCAAGGCAGGAAGAUUGCUUGAGUUCUAGUGCUGUCAGCUAAUCAGCUAGUGUGCUCUGCCUGUUGGGUGUCUGCACUGUUUGGCAUCAAUACAGUGACUUCCUGGAAUCAGGGGACCACCAGGUUGCCUAAGGAGGAGUGAACUGGCCCAGGGCAGAAAUGGAGGAUGUCAAAACUCCCAUGCUGAUUAGUCAUAGGUUCAUACCUGUGAAUAGCCACUGCACUCCAGCCUAAGCAAUGUAGUGAGAUUCUAUCUCUU